GGAAUUUUGGACAAUGGGCGCAAGCCUGAUCCAGCAAUGCCGCGUGCAGGAUGAAGGCCUUCGGGUUGUAAACUGCUUUUGUACGGAGCGAAACGGCUUCCCCUAAUACGGGGAGCUAAUGACGGUACCGUAAGAAUAAGCACCGGCUAACUACGUGCCAGCAGCCGCGGUAAUACGUAGGGUGCGAGCGUUAAUCGGAAUUACUGGGCGUAAAGCGUGCGCAGGCGGUUAUAUAAGACAGAUGUGAAAUCCCCGGGCUCAACCUGGGACCUGCAUUUGUGACUGUAUAGCUAGAGUACGGUAGAGGGGGGUGGAAUUCCGCGUGUAGCAGUGAAAUGCGUAGAUAUGCGGAGGAACACCGAUGGCGAAGGCAAUCCCCUGGACCUGUACUGACGCUCAUGCACGAAAGCGUGGGAAGCAAACAGGAUUAGAUACCCUGGUAGUCCACGCCCUAAACGAUGUCAACUGGUUGUUGGGUCUUCACUGACUCAGUAACGAAGCUAACGCGUGAAGUUGACCGCCUGGGGAGUACGGCCGCAAGGUUGAAACUCAAAUGAAUUGACGG
rnacentral:rRNA from 1 species